rnacentral:rRNA from 1 species
GAUGAACGCUGGCGGCGUGCCUAAUACAUGCAAGUCGAGCGAACAGAUGAGGAGCUUGCUCCUCUGACGUUAGCGGCGGACGGGUGAGUAACACGUGGAUAACCUACCUAUAAGACUGGGAUAACUUCGGGAAACCGGAGCUAAUACCGGAUAAUAUAUUAAACCGCAUGGUUCAAUAGUGAAAGACGGUUUUGCUGUCACUUAUAGAUGGAUCCGCGCCGCAUUAGCUAGUUGGUAAGGUAACGGCUUACCAAGGCAACGAUGCGUAGCCGACCUGAGAGGGUGAUCGGCCACACUGGAACUGAGACACGGUCCAGACUCCUACGGGAGGCAGCAGUAGGGAAUCUUCCGCAAUGGGCGAAAGCCUGACGGAGCAACGCCGCGUGAGUGAUGAAGGUCUUCGGAUCGUAAAACUCUGUUAUUAGGGAAGAACAAAUGUGUAAGUAACUAUGCACGUCUUGACGGUACCUAAUCAGAAAGCCACGGCUAACUACGUG